rnacentral:rRNA from 1 species
CAGUAGCCACGGUAAUACGUAGGGUGCGAGCGUUAAUCGGAAUUACUGGGCGUAAAGCGUGCGCAGGCGGUUAUAUAAGACAGAUGUGAAAUCCCCGGGCUCAACCUGGGACCUGCAUUUGUGACUGUAUAGCUAGAGUACGGUAGAGGGGGAUGGAAUUCCGCGUGUAGCAGUGAAACGCGUAGAUAUGCGGAGGAACACCGAUGGCGAAGGCAAUCCCCUGGACCUGUACUGACGCUCAUGCACGAAAGCGUGGGGAGCAAACAGGAUUAGAUACCCCGGUAGUCCCUGUCUCUUAUAC